rnacentral:rRNA from 1 species
CACUGCUCUGACGGAUGCUUUUAUUAGACCAAGCCGCUGAGGACUUGAGGGUUCGCUCUCCUGUCUGACUCGUGUAAUGGUGACUCUGGAUAACCAAUUCUGACAAGCGCACGUACUUCUCUUCUGAGCGAGACGGCGCUGCCACUUUCGAGUGUCUGCCUUAUCAGCUAUCAACCGUUCGUUAUGCGCGACCGAUGGCUUUGACGGGUAACGGGGAAUCAGGGUUCGAUUCCGGAGAGGCAGCCUGAGAGACGGCUACCACGUCCAAGGACGGCAGCAGGCACGCAAAUUACCCAAUCCCAGCAAAUGGGGGAGGUAGUGACGAAAUCUAACGAUGCGGGCGCCCUUUCUGGGGCCCCGCAAUCGGAAUGGGCACUUUCUAAACAACCUGUUGAGAACCUACUGAAGGGCAAGUCUGGUGCCAGCAGCCGCGGUAAUUCCAGCUUCAGCAGCAUCUAUUAAAGUUGCUGCGGUUAAAAGGCUCGCAGUUGAAUGUCUGUAUCGAGCGCAGGUCAGGUGGACGUUGGGGCGUGGAAGUACGGGCAGUUGGAUGUCCGUGGGGCCUUGGUGCUCAACGGCUCCUUCGGCUUUUCCACACACCCCCGUCCGUGACAAGCCUCCUCGCUCGGGUACAUAACGGGAAUCGGUCAAACGGAGUGUGGUUGGAGGUUGGGGUGCGUGGCUUCUGUUGCGUGCUUCUUCUUUCGGCUGCGUUAAGCUCCAUCGGUUUCACGGUCACCUUGAGUAAAUCAGAGUGCUCAAAGCAGUCGUAGGGGCCUUGCGCCCUGUGAACAGUCUUGACGGACUGACUUGGUUUUGCAUGGCAUGUCGGAAGACGACGUCGUGUGCUGGCUCAGAGGAUAAAUCAGUGGUACAAGCCAGCCUCGACGUAAUGAUUAAAAGGGACGGUCGAGGGCAUUGGUAUUGCGAGGCGAGAGGUGAAAUUCUGUGACCCCCGCAAGACCUCCUGAAGCGAAAGCGUCUGCCAAGGACGUUUU